AGGACGAACGCUGGCGGCGUGCUUAACACAUGCAAGUCGAGCGAACCUUCGGGUUAGCGGCGAACGGGUGAGUAACACGUGGGCAACCUGCCCCGAGCUCUGGGAUAACUCCGGGAAACCGGGGCUAAUACCGGAUAUGACCCGAGAAGACAUCUUCUCGGGUGGAAAGUUUUUCGGCUCGGGAUGGGCCCGCGGCCUAUCAGCUUGUUGGUGGGGUAACGGCCUACCAAGGCGACGACGGGUAGCCGGCCUGAGAGGGCGACCGGCCACGACUGGGACUGAGACACGGCCCAGACUCCUACGGGAGGCAGCAGUGGGGAAUAUUGCGCAAUGGGCGAAAGCCUGACGCAGCGACGCCGCGUGAGGGAUGAAGGCCUUCGGGUUGUAAACCUCUUUCAGCAGGGACGAAGCGAAAGUGACGGUACCUGCAGAAGAAGCACCGGCCAACUACGUGCCAGCAGCCGC
rnacentral:rRNA from 1 species